AGAGUUUGAUCAUGGCUCAGAUUGAACGCUGGCGGCAGGCCUAACACAUGCAAGUCGAACGGUAACAGGAAGAAGCUUGCUUCUUUGCUGACGAGUGGCGGACGGGUGAGUAAUGUCUGGGAAACUGCCUGAUGGAGGGGGAUAACUACUGGAAACGGUAGCUAAUACCGCAUAACGUCGCAAGACCAAAGAGGGGGACCUUCGGGCCUCUUGCCAUCGGAUGUGCCCAGAUGGGAUUAGCUUGUUGGUGGGGUAACGGCUCACCAAGGCGACGAUCCCUAGCUGGUCUGAGAGGAUGACCAGCCACACUGGAACUGAGACACGGUCCAGACUCCUACGGGAGGCAGCAGUGGGGAAUAUUGCACAAUGGGCGCAAGCCUGAUGCAGCCAUGCCGCGUGUAUGAAGAAGGCCUUCGGGUUGUAAAGUACUUUCAGCGGGGAGGAAGGGAGUAAAGUUAAUACCUUUGCUCAUUGACGUUACCCGCAGAAGAAGCACCGGCUAACUCCGUGCCAGCAGCCGCGGUAAUACGGAGGGUGCAAGCGUUAAUCGGAAUUACUGGGCGUAAAGCGCACGCAGGCGGUUUGUUAAGUCAGAUGUGAAAUCCCCGGGCUCAACCUGGGAACUGCAUCUGAUACUGGCAAGCUUGAGUCUCGUAGAGGGGGGUAGAAUUCCAGGUGUAGCGGUGAAAUGCGUAGAGAUCUGGAGGAAUACCGGUGGCGAAGGCGGCCCCCUGGACGAAGACUGACGCUCAGGUGCGAAAGCGUGGGGAGCAAACAGGAUUAGAUACCCUGGUAGUCCACGCCGUAAACGAUGUCGACUUGGAGGUUGUGCCCUUGAGGCGUGGCUUCCGGAGCUAACGCGUUAAGUCGACCGCCUGGGGAGUACGGCCGCAAGGUUAAAACUCAAAUGAAUUGACGGGGGCCCGCACAAGCGGUGGAGCAUGUGGUUUAAUUCGAUGCAACGCGAAGAACCUUACCUGGUCUUGACAUCCACAGAACUUUUCCAGAGAUGGAUUGGUGCCUUCGGGAACUGUGAGACAGGUGCUGCAUGGCUGUCGUCAGCUCGUGUUGUGAAAUGUUGGGUUAAGUCCCGCAACGAGCGCAACCCUUAUCCUUUGUUGCCAGCGGUCCGGCCGGGAACUCAAAGGAGACUGCCAGUGAUAAACUGGAGGAAGGUGGGGAUGACGUCAAGUCAUCAUGGCCCUUACGACCAGGGCUACACACGUGCUACAAUGGCGCAUACAAAGAGAAGCGACCUCGCGAGAGCAAGCGGACCUCAUAAAGUGCGUCGUAGUCCGGAUUGGAGUCUGCAACUCGACUCCAUGAAGUCGGAAUCGCUAGUAAUCGUGGAUCAGAAUGCCACGGUGAAUACGUUCCCGGGCCUUGUACACACCGCCCGUCACACCAUGGGAGUGGGUUGCAAAAGAAGUAGGUAGCUUAACCUUCGGGAGGGCGCUUACCACUUUGUGAUUCAUGACUGGGGUGAAGUCGUAACAAGGUAACCGUAGGGGAACCUGCGGUUGGAUCACCU
rnacentral:rRNA from 1 species